UACGAAGGGUGCAAGCGUUACUCGGAAUUACUGGGCGUAAAGCGUGCGUAGGUGGUUUGUUAAGUCUGCUGUGAAAGCCCCGGGCUCAACCUGGGAAUGGCAGUGGAUACUGGCAAGCUAGAGUGCGGGUAGAGGGUAGUGGAAUUCCCGGUGUAGCGGUGAAAUGCGUAGAGAUCGGGAGGAACACCAGUGGCGAAGGCGGCUACCUGGACCAGCACUGACACUGAGGCACGAAAGCGUGGGGAGCAAACAGGG
rnacentral:rRNA from 1 species